rnacentral:rRNA from 1 species
UAACUCCGUGCCAGCAGCCGCGGUAAUACGGGAGGGUGCGAGCGUUAAUCGGAAUUACUGGGCGUAAAGCGCAUGCAGGUGGUUUGUUAAGUCAGAUGUGAAAGCCCGGGGCUCAACCUCGGAAUUGCAUUUUGAAACUGGCAGACUAGAGUACUGUAGAGGGGGUAGAAUUUCAGGUGUAGCGGUGAAAUGCGUAGAGAUCUGAAGGAAUACCGGUGGCGAAGGCGGCCCCCUGGACAGAUACUGACACUCAGAUGCGAAAGCGUGGGGAGCAAACAGGAUUAGAUACCCUGGUAG